AACGAACGCUGGCGGCAGGCUUAACACAUGCAAGUCGAGCGCCUCGCAAGGGGAGCGGCAGACGGGUGAGUAACACGUGGGAAUCUACCCUUCGGUUCGGAACAACACGGAGAAAUCUGUGCUAAUACCGGAUACGGCCUAUGGGCGAAAGAUUUAUCGCCGAAGGAUGAGCCCGCGUCCGAUUAGCUAGUUGGUGUGGUAAUGGCGCACCAAGGCGACGAUCGGUAGCUGGUCUGAGAGGAUGACCAGCCACACUGGGACUGAGACACGGCCCAGACUCCUACGGGAGGCAGCAGUGGGGAAUAUUGGACAAUGGGCGCAAGCCUGAUCCAGCCAUGCCGCGUGAGUGAUGAAGGCCUUAGGGUUGUAAAGCUCUUUCACCCACGACGAUAAUGACGGUAGUGGGAGAAGAAGCCCCGGCUAACUUCGUGCCAGCAGCCGCGGUAAAGUCUGUACU
rnacentral:rRNA from 1 species